GGGGUCUGGAUACAUUCUUGGGACAUUCGCAUGAAAGUUGCUCUCGGUGCUGCAAAAGGGGCUUGCAUUUCUUCAUAGUGCUGAUGUGAAUGUCAUUCAUGGGGACUUUAAGACUUCCUCAUAUACUGCUUGAUUCAGUAUGUAAUUUACCUACAUUACCUGAUCAAACUUUUUUUUCACAAUAUAUUUGAAUUUAGGACUAACAAUUAGUUGAGUAUAUCUGCAUUUGUUGACCUACCUGCUACAUUUGCUCCAUAUUUGUAGAACUUCAAUGCAAAGCUUUCUGGUUUUGCUUUAGCUAGGGAUGGGCCAACUGAUGAUGAGAGUUACGUCAGUAGUCCUUUCAGGGGUACUACUGGAUAUGCUGCACCAGAGCGUCUAACCACAGGAAAUAUAAUCUGAGACUGCGCAAGGCAAAGGGGUGUUAGAGAGGACGAGCACGAGUGAAAGCUUCCGUUGAUGGAGAGAUAUUGUUAUAGUGUAGAGGGUAAAGGAUAGUCGGCCUUGUAUCAAAACACUCACCAUAUUAGCAAAAUUGCCCACCAUUCCUUCACGUUAAAGUUUGUGAGGAGAACAAUCAAGUCUAACCUGAUCAGAGAAACUUUAUUUUUAAUAAUAUAUUUGUGUUACUCAACCUCUAAGUCUCACAGCAUAGUUCAAAAUAGGGUUAAUAAUAUAUGUAGUUAUUAAGUUUUUUU